rnacentral:lncRNA from 1 species
AUAGGUUCAACCAGAUUUUAGCACAGCUCAGACCAAAUGGAACUGUUUAUGGCUAUGUGUCAUCAGAUUGCAAAACAGAAGGAAUCUAUUCUUACUAUUAAAUGGCCAACUCCCACGAGAAUCCAUAUUUAAUAGUGCAUGUAACAUUCUAUGCUUGGCUGAUUAUUUCUCUUCACACAUAAGAAAGCAUAAUUGAUGAUAGGUAAGAGAGGGAGAAUAUGGUUCAGAUUUAGAAAAAAUAAAAUUGGUAUUUAAGUGUUAAUUAGGGUACUUAGCACUCUUCUAAGCAUUUUGCAAUGUUAAAUCAUGUACUACUUCUCAACCCUUUAAGGCGGGGCCUCUCAGAGCAGCCUGAGAGCUGAGAAGCAGAAAAUGCACAGAAGAUGAACCUUGGGAACCAUCUGAGUUCUCAUCCUCAAGAAGAUGGUUAUAUUAUGGAAAAGAUCAAACUGACUGUUAUGCUCACAUAAAAUUAAUUCCACAGUUGUUCUUUAACAAUGAAUGCAUUUGAAGUCUAAAAAUAACCAUUGUAAAUGAAAACAGUUGGUUUAUUAGAGAAGUGGGAUUCUAGAUUUUCCCCUGCUCUAUCUCUCCUGUUUGUGUGUGUGUGAGUGUGUUGGCUUUCUGUUACUCUUGCAAUGAUAUUGUUUAUUAGAUUUUCCCCUAAAAUUAUUGUAAAUAUUAAUAAUACUUAAGAAAUAAAUGCUUCUAUUUUGUGUCCCCAAAACUCCAAGAGGAGGAAAUUACUAAGAUAAAAGAAUGAUGGUUAAUAAAGUUUCAG